rnacentral:rRNA from 1 species
CCAGACUCCUACGGGAGGCAGCAGUGGGGAAUAUUGCACAAUGGGCGAAAGCCUGAUGCAGCAACGCCGCGUGAAGGAAGACGGUUUUCGGAUUGUAAACUUCUGUUCUUAGUGAAGAAUAAUGACGGUAACUAAGGAGCAAGCCACGGCUAACUACGUGCCAGCAGCCGCGGUAAUACGUAGGUGGCAAGCGUUGUCCGGAAUUACUGGGUGUAAAGGGAGCGUAGGCGGGCGAGAAAGUUGAAUGUUAAAUCUACCGGCUUAACUGGUAGCUGCGUUCAAAACUUCUUGUCUUGAGUGAAGUAGAGGCAGGCGGAAUUCCUAGUGUAGCGGUGAAAUGCGUAGAUAUUAGGAGGAACACCAGUGGCGAAGGCGGCCUGCUGGGCUUUAACUGACGCUGAGGCUCGAAAGCGUGGGGAGCAAACAGGAUUAGAUACCCUAGUAG